UACGUAGGGGGCAAGCGUUGUCCGGAUUUAUUGGGCGUAAAGAGCGUGUAGGCGGCCAGACAGGUCCGUUGUGAAAACUCGAGGCUCAACCUCGAGACGCCGAUGGAAACCGUUUGGCUAGAGUCCGGAAGAGGAGAGUGGAAUUCCUGGUGUAGCGGUGAAAUGCGCAGAUAUCAGGAAGAACACCCGUGGCGAAGGCGGCUCUCUGGGACGGUACUGACGCUGAGACGCGAAAGCGUGGGGAGCGAACAGG
rnacentral:rRNA from 1 species